CCUACGGGUGGCAGCAGUGAGGAAUAUUGGUCCAUGGGCGGGAGCCUGACCCCGCCAAGUCGCGUGCGGGAAGACGGUCCUGUGGAUUGUACACCUCUUUAGGCGGGGAGCAAUGCCGGGCACGCGUGCCCGGAGGGCGGGUACCCGCAGAAUCAGCAUCGGCUAACUACGUGCCAGCAGCCGCGGUAAUACGGAGGAUGCGAGCGUUAUCCGGAUUUAUUGGGUUUAAAGGGUGCGUAGGCGGAUUUGUAAGUCAGCGGUAAAAUGUCCGGGCUCAACCCGGGCCGGCCGUUGAAACUGGGGAUCUAGAGUGGGCGAGAAGGAUGCGGAAUGCGUGGUGUAGCGGUGAAAUGCAUAGAUAUCACGCAGAACUCCGAUUGCGAAGGCAGCAUACCGGCGCCCGACUGACGCUGAGGCACGAAAGCGUGGGGAUCGAACAGGAUUAGAUACCCCGGUAGUC
rnacentral:rRNA from 1 species